rnacentral:rRNA from 1 species
UACGUAGGGUGCGAGCGUUGCCCGGAUUUAUUGGGCGUAAAGGGCGCGUAGGCGGCCACGCACGUCCGUUGUGAAAUCGCCCGGCUCAACUGGGCGGGGUCAGCGGAUACGGUGUGGCUAGAGCAAGCUAGGGGGCAAUGGAAUUCCCGGUGUAGUGGUGGAAUGCGUAGAUAUCGGGGAGGAACACCCAGUGGCGAAGGCGGUUGCCUGGAGCUUUGCUGACGCUGAUGCGCGAAAGCGUGGGGAGCGAUCCGG